ACCGCUGUAGCUCAGGGGAUAGAGCAACCUUUUGACUGAAGGGUGGGUCGUAGGUUCGAAUCCUACCAGUGGUG
rnacentral:tRNA from 1 species